UAUGAAACACCAGUUUCCAUACAAUCACCAAAGUUAAGCAACAUCAAGCCUGGUCAGUACCUAUUUGGGUGACCACUUAGGAAUACCGAGUGCUGUAA